rnacentral:rRNA from 1 species
UACGGGGGGUGCGAGCGUUGUCCGGAAUCACUGGGCGUAAAGGGCGCGUAGGUGGUUUGAUAAGGGUGUGGUGAAAGUCCGGGGCUCAACCCCGGAUCUGCCGUGCCGACUGUCAAACUCGAGGACUGUAGAGGCAGACGGAAUUCCGGGUGUAGCGGUGGAAUGCGUAGAGAUCCGGAAGAACACCGGUGGCGAAGGCGGCCCGCUGGGCAGGAAGGCUCGCAAGAGCCGGCUGACACUGAGGCGCGACAGCGUGGGGAGCAAACAGG